rnacentral:rRNA from 1 species
GCAGCAGGCACGCAAAUUACCCACUCCCGGCACGGGGAGGUAGUGACAAAAAAUAACGAUACGGGACUCUAUUGAGGCCCCGUAAUCGGAAUGAGUACACUUUAAAUCCUUUAACAAGGAUCCAUUGGAGGGCAAGUCUGGUGCCAGCAGCCGCGGUAAUUCCAGCUCCAAUAGCGUAUAUUAAAGUUGUUGCGGUUAAAAAGCUCGUAGUUGGUUCUGCGUGCCGCGCUGUCGGUUCGCCGCCUGUCGGUGUAACUGGCAUGUCGCGGCAUGUCCUGUCGGUGGUGAACGGAGUCCACAAUGCUACAUAGGCUUUAUAGCCGAUGUUAGCGUCGUGUGUACUUCCGUUGGCCGAUCUCUCCUACUUCGGUGCUCUUAAACGAGUGUCGAGGUAGGCCGACACGUUCACUUUGAACAAAUUAGAGUGCUUAAAGCAGGCUAAAAUCUCUGCCUGAAUAGUGGUGCAUGGAAUGAUAAAACAGGACCUCGGUUCUAUUUUGUUGGUUUUAGGAAUAUGAGGUAAUGAUCAAUGUGGACUGGCGGGGGCAUUCGUAUUGCGACGUUAGAGGUGAAAUUCUUGGAUCGUCGCAAGACGCACUAGAGCGAAAGCAUUUGCCAAGUAUGUCUUAAUUGAUCAAGAACGAAAGUUAGAGGUUCGAAGGCGAUCAGAUACCGCCCUAGUUCUAACCAUAAACGAUGCCAGCCAGCGAUCCGCCGAUGUUCCUUUAAUGACUCGGCGGGGAGCUUCCACCCGGGAAACCAAAGCUUUUGGGUUCCGGGGGAAGUAUGGUUGCAAAGCUGAAACUUAAAGGAAUUGACGGAAGGGCACCACCAGGAGUGGAGCCUGCGGCUUAAUUUGACUCAACACGGGAAACCUCACCAGGCCAGGACAUUGGAAGGAUUGACAGAUUGAUAGCUCUUUCUUGAUUCAGUGGGUAGUGGUGCAUGGCCGUUC